CGUGGACAAGGUCGGUGGUAGCUUGUCAGGCUCGUGAUCUGAAGGUCGCAGGUUCAAAUCCUGCUCUCGCGU